AUUUUAGGACAAGCCUCGUCGUCCUGAACACACUGCUACUCUGCGUCACUGCCGGUAACCUGGUGAUGACAGGCCUGCGGGACACCCUUGUUUACGAUCGACGAUCAGGAAAGUUCCAGCUGACUGGAGAAGAAGAGUCAUAUUCCCCAUUAGGGCUCUUCGUCUGCGUUUCUAUACACAGAAACCUCAAAAAUAUUCUCGGGAAAUCUGUCACUAGAGUUCGAGAACUUAUUAAGCCAAGCCUUCACAGUCUGUGUGCAAGGACCGUAGGCAGGCUGUAUGGUGUGGUGCCAAA
rnacentral:lncRNA from 1 species